rnacentral:ncRNA from 1 species
UGGUGAUAAAGGUAAACCAUUCGUAAGGAUGGGACACAAAGCUAAAGGGCCCUUUAACCAAAAUAGCGGUAAAAGGGUAGCCAGUUGCCACA